AUUGAACGCUGGCGGCAGGCCUAACACAUGCAAGUCGAACGGUAACAGGAAGCAGCUUGCUGCUUCGCUGACGAGUGGCGGACGGGUGAGUAAUGUCUGGGAAACUGCCUGAUGGAGGGGGAUAACUACUGGAAACGGUAGCUAAUACCGCAUAACGUCGCAAGACCAAAGAGGGGGACCUUCGGGCCUCUUGCCAUCGGAUGUGCCCAGAUGGGAUUAGCUAGUAGGUGGGGUAAUGGCUCACCUAGGCGACGAUCCCUAGCUGGUCUGAGAGGAUGACCAGCAACACUGGAACUGAGACACGGUCCAGACUCCUACGGGAGGCAGCAGUGGGGAAUAUUGCACAAUGGGCGCAAGCCUGAUGCAGCCAUGCCGCGUGUAUGAAGAAGGCCUUCGGGUUGUAAAGUACUUUCAGCGGGGAGGAAGGGAGUAAAGUUAAUACCUUUGCUCAUUGACGUUACCCGCAGAAGAAGCACCGGCUAACUCCGUGCCAGCAGCCGCCGUAA
rnacentral:rRNA from 1 species